UACGUAGGGUCCGAGCGUUGUCCGGAAUUAUUGGGCGUAAAGGGCUCGUAGGCGGUCUGUCACGUCGGGAGUGAAAACUCGGGGCUUAACCCCGAGCCUGCUUCCGAUACGGGCAGACUAGAGGUAUGCAGGGGAGAACGGAAUUCCUGGUGUAGCGGUGAAAUGCGCAGAUAUCAGGAGGAACACCGGUGGCGAAGGCGGUUCUCUGGGCAUUACCUGACGCUGAGGAGCGAAAGUGUGGGGAGCGAACAGG
rnacentral:rRNA from 1 species